GACGAACGCUGGCGGCGUGCUUAACACAUGCAAGUCGAACGGAAAGGCCCUGCUUGUGUGGGGUGCUCGAGUGGCGAACGGGUGAGUAACACGUGAGUAACCUGCCCUUGACUUUGGGAUAACUUCAGGAAACUGGGGCUAAUACCGGAUAGGAGCUCCUGCUGCAUGGUGGGGGCUGGAAAGUUUCGGCGGUUGGGGAUGGACUCGCGGCUUACCAGCUGGUUGGUGGAGUAGUGGCUUACCAAGGCUUUGACGGGUAGCCGGCCCGAGAGCGUGACCGGCAACAUUGGGACUGAGCUACGGCCCAGAGUACUACGGGAGGCAGCAGUGGGGAAUAUUGCACGAUGGGCGGAAGCCUGAUGCAGCAACGCCGCGUGCGGGAUGACGGCCUUCGGGUUGUAAACCGCUUUCGCCUGUGACGAAGCGUGAGUGACGGUAAUGGGUAAAGAAGCACCGGCUAACUACGUG
rnacentral:rRNA from 1 species